CUUGGGGCGGCCUACCAUGCAAGUCGAGCGGUAGCACAGAGAGCUUGCUCUCGGGUGACGAGCGGCGGACGGGUGAGUAAUGUCUGGGAAACUGCCUGAUGGAGGGGGAUAACUACUGGAAACGGUAGCUAAUACCGCAUAACGUCGCAAGACCAAAGUGGGGGACCUUCGGGCCUCAUGCCAUCAGAUGUGCCCAGAUGGGAUUAGCUGGUAGGUGGGGUAACGGCUCACCUAGGCGACGAUCCCUAGCUGGUCUGAGAGGAUGACCAGCCACACUGGAACUGAGACACGGUCCAGACUCCUACGGGAGGCAGCAGUGGGGAAUAUUGCACAAUGGGCGCAAGCCUGAUGCAGCCAUGCCGCGUGUGUGAAGAAGGCCUUCGGGUUGUAAAGCACUUUCAGCGGGGAGGAAGGCGGUGAGGUUAAUAACCUCAUCGAUUGACGUUACCCGCAGAAGAAGCACCGGCUAACUCCGUGCCAGCAGCCGCGGUAAUACGGAGGGUGCAAGCGUUAAUCGGAAUUACUGGGCGUAAAGCGCACGCAGGCGGUCUGUCAAGUCGGAUGUGAAAUCCCCGGGCUCAACCUGGGAACUGCAUUCGAAACUGGCAGGCUAGAGUCUUGUAGAGGGGGGUAGAAUUCCAGGUGUAGCGGUGAAAUGCGUAGAGAUCUGGAGGAAUACCGGUGGCGAAGGCGGCCCCCUGGACAAAGACUGACGCUCAGGUGCGAAAGCGUGGGGAGCAAACAGGAUUAGAUACCCUGGUAGUCCACGCUGUAAACGAUGUCGAUUUGGAGGUUGUGCCCUUGAGGCGUGGCUUCCGGAGCUAACGCGUUAAAUCGACCGCCUGGGGAGUACGGCCGCAAGGUUAAAACUCAAAUGAAUUGACGGGGGCCCGCACAAGCGGUGGAGCAUGUGGUUUAAUUCGAUGCAACGCGAAGAACCUUACCUGGUCUUGACAUCCACAGAACUUUCCAGAGAUGGAUUGGUGCCUUCGGGAACUGUGAGACAGGUGCUGCAUGGCUGUCGUCAGCUCGUGUUGUGAAAUGUUGGGUUAAGUCCCGCAACGAGCGCAACCCUUAUCCUUUGUUGCCAGCGGUUAGGCCGGGAACUCAAAGGAGACUGCCAGUGAUAAACUGGAGGAAGGUGGGGAUGACGUCAAGUCAUCAUGGCCCUUACGACCAGGGCUACACACGUGCUACAAUGGCAUAUACAAAGAGAAGCGACCUCGCGAGAGCAAGCGGACCUCAUAAAGUAUGUCGUAGUCCGGAUUGGAGUCUGCAACUCGACUCCAUGAAGUCGGAAUCGCUAGUAAUCGUAGAUCAGAAUGCUACGGUGAAUACGUUCCCGGGCCUUGUACACACCGCCCGUCACACCAUGGGAGUGGGUUGCAAAAGAAGUAGGUAGCUUAACCUUCGGGAGGGCGCUUACCACUUUUGUUAAGG
rnacentral:rRNA from 1 species